rnacentral:lncRNA from 1 species
ACAAUGGGGUGGUUCCAUGGCCCAGAAGCACUCUAGCUACAGAUUAGAAUGAUGACAAGAGUAAUACCUUCCUAGUGAAGAUGACUUUUAUUUCAGGACUAUAUUAAGUUUCCCAACUUCUGUCAUGAUAUAGUCCAAAGAGAACCUGGACCACGCAGACAUCAAACAGAACAUGACACUGACCCAUUCUAUCAGUGACGUUGUGCUGAUUGCACAGGACAGAUGAGAGGCUCGUAUACUAGAAGUCUUGAUGAAGAAAAAUUGUGCCCCAGCAAGGAUUAUACCCAGAGCCUCAUCCAUUCAUACCUGAUUUAGAUACUUAGAUGAUGAGUAAUAGAAAAGGUGGUUAUCAAACCUGGGUCAAAGUUGAAUCACCUGAGGAUCUUUUAGAACAUACACAGUCAUAUGAUACUUCAAAAUCUGUGAUUCCAUGAAGCCAAGAGUAGCUCUUCAACAGGAAAUGAAUGAGUGCUUCAGCUUCUGAUCCCAUUAGUAAGAAAAUACAGUCUUAUGAGCAAUGAUGGAGCUGCAUCUCUUAGGGGCAUUUGAUUCCCAAGAGACCAAAGAGCAAAGAGAAUGUCAAUUUAAAAAAAUCAAAUGUUUCCAUGACUUAGCUAUUUAACUGCUUUAAAAUGAAUGAAUGCUGCUUCAAGUUCUUUCAAAUACCCCACAUCUUGGCAACAACGAAAGGAAUUAACAUGAAGAAAAUUUACAAUCUUUCAUCACAUCGAACAAUGUCCCACAUUUGAAAAGUUCACAGCACAGAUUUCUGGUUACUGAAAGAAAGGAAAGACCUUCUUUGGAUUUGAAUAAACAGAUGGACUUUCUUCUCCUU